GCCUUCGUGGUGUAAUGGCCAACGCACUCGGCACGUAUUCGAGAGGUCCGUGGUUCGAGUCCCGGCGACGACA
rfam:Stegodyphus mimosarum contig21131, whole genome shotgun sequence.